CAGCCAAUAGUUUAAUUAAAAUUUUAAUUUUGGAGAUUAAAGAUACUUUUUUGUUUAGCUGA
rnacentral:tRNA from 1 species